GACGAACUCUGGCGGCGUGCUUAACACAUGCAAGUCGAACGGUAAGGCUCCAGCUUGCUGGGGUACACGAGUGGCGAACGGGUGAGUAACACGUGGGUGACCUGCCCUGCACUUCGGGAUAAGCCUGGGAAACUGGGUCUAAUACCGGAUAGGACCGCACCGUGAGGGUGUGGUGGAAAGUUUUUUCGGUGUGGGAUGGGCCCGCGGCCUAUCAGCUUGUUGGUGGGGUAAUGGCCUACCAAGGCGGCGACGGGUAGCCGGCCUGAGAGGGUGGACGGCCACAUUGGGACUGAGACACGGCCCAGACUCCUACGGGAGGCAGCAGUGGGGAAUAUUGCACAAUGGGCGGAAGCCUGAUGCAGCGACGCCGCGUGGGGGAUGACGGCCUUCGGGUUGUAAACUCCUUUCACCAUCGACGAAGGGUUUCUGACGGUAGAUGGAGAAGAAGCACCGGCUAACUACGUGCCAGCAGCCGCGGUAAUACGUAGGGUGCGAGCGUUGUCCGGAAUUACUGGGCGUAAAGAGCUCGUAGGUGGUUUGUCGCGUCGUCUGUGAAAUUCCGGGGCUUAACUCCGGGCGUGCAGGCGAUACGGGCAUAACUUGAGUACUGUAGGGGAGACUGGAAUUCCUGGUGUAGCGGUGAAAUGCGCAGAUAUCAGGAGGAACACCGGUGGCGAAGGCGGGUCUCUGGGCAGUAACUGACGCUGAGGAGCGAAAGCAUGGGGAGCGAACAGGAUUAGAUACCCUGGUAGUCCAUGCCGUAAACGGUGGGCGCUAGGUGUGGGUUUCCUUCCACGGGAUCCGUGCCGUAGCUAACGCAUUAAGCGCCCCGCCUGGGGAGUACGGCCGCAAGGCUAAAACUCAAAGGAAUUGACGGGGGCCCGCACAAGCGGCGGAGCAUGUGGAUUAAUUCGAUGCAACGCGAAGAACCUUACCUGGGCUUGACAUAUACAGGAUCGCGCCAGAGAUGGUGUUUCCCUUGUGGCUUGUAUACAGGUGGUGCAUGGUUGUCGUCAGCUCGUGUCGUGAGAUGUUGGGUUAAGUCCCGCAACGAGCGCAACCCUUGUCUUAUGUUGCCAGCACGUUGUGGUGGGGACUCGUAAGAAACUGCCGGGGUUAACUCGGAGGAAGGUGGGGAUGACGUCAAAUCAUCAUGCCCCUUAUGCCCAGGGCUUCACACACGCUACAAUGGUCGGUACAGUGGGUUGCCAGUCCGUGAGGGCGAGCUAAUCCCGCAAAGCCGGUCUCAGUUCGGAUCGGGGUCUGCAACUCGACCCCGUGAAGUCGGAGUCGCUAGUAAUCGCAGAUCAGCAACGCUGCGGUGAAUACGUUCCCGGGCCU
rnacentral:rRNA from 1 species